GCGGGCGUAAUUCAGCGGUAGAAUGUCAGCUUCCCAAGCUGAACGUCGUGGGUUCGAUCCCCAUCGCCCGCUCCA
rnacentral:tRNA from 1 species